rnacentral:rRNA from 1 species
AACAAACGCUGGCGGCGUGCCUAACACAUGCAAGUCGUACGAGAAAGGGUCCUUCGGGGCCUGAGUAAAGUGGCGCACGGGUGAGUAACGCGUGGAUAAUCUGCCCUUCAGUUGGGAAUAACUCAUCGAAAGGUGGGCUAAUACCGAAUAAUGCUGUGAGACCUCGGCUGAUCAGCCAAAGAGAGCCUCUGCUUGCAAGCCCUCGCUGAAGGAUGAGUCCGCGUACCAUUAGCUAGUUGGUAGGGUAAUGGCCUACCAAGGCGACGAUGGUUAGCUAGUUUGAUAGGAUGAUCAGCCACACUGGAACUGAGACACGGUCCAGACUCCUACGGGAUGCAGCAGUGAGGAAUCUUGCGCAAUGGGGGCAACCCUGACGCAGCAACGCCGCGUGAGUGAGGAAGGUCUUCGGAUCGUAAAGCUCUGUCGGAUGGAAAGAACCGCAUAGGGGUAAACAGCCCCUGUGUCUGACGGUACCAUCAAAGGAAGCACCGGCUAACUCCGUGCCAGCCGCCGCGGUAACAC